AUUGAACGCUGGCGGCAGGCUUAACACAUGCAAGUCGAGCGGGGUGAUGGUGCUUGCACUAUCACUUAGCGGCGGACGGGUGAGUAAUGCUUAGGAAUCUGCCUAUUAGUGGGGGACAACAUCUCGAAAGGGAUGCUAAUACCGCAUACGUCCUACGGGAGAAAGCAGGGGAUCACUUGUGACCUUGCGCUAAUAGAUGAGCCUAAGUCGGAUUAGCUAGUUGGUGGGGUAAAGGCCUACCAAGGCGACGAUCUGUAGCGGGUCUGAGGGGAUGAUCCGCCACACUGGGACUGAGACACGGACCAGACUCCUACGGGAGGCAGCAGCGGGGAAUAUUGGACAAUGGGGGGAACCCUGAUCCAGCCAUGCCGCGUGUGUGAAGAAGGCCUUAUGGUUGUAAAGCACUUUAAGCGAGGAGGAGGCUCUUUUGGUUAAUACCCAAGAUGAGUGGACGUUACUCGCAGAAUAAGCACCGGCUAACUCUGUGCCAGCCGCCGCAGUAA
rnacentral:rRNA from 1 species